rnacentral:rRNA from 1 species
GCCCAACUAUAACACAACAAUUAAAUAACUUAUUGUUCGCCAAAUAACUACGAGUAAAAACUUAAAAUUUAAAAGACUUGACGGUGCCUCAAACCAACCUAGAGGAGCCUGUCUAAUAACCGAUACCCCACGAUAAACCCGACCCACUCUAGCCUACAGUCUAUAUACCGCCGUCGCCAGCCUACCUUGUGAAAGAAAUAAAGUAAGCCUAAUAGCCCCACACUAAUACGACAGGUCGAGGUGUAACUUAUGAGGGGGAACAAGAUGGGCUACAUUUUCCAACACAGAAAAUACGAAUUAAUCUAUGAAAUAAGAAACUGAAGGCGGAUUUAGCAGUAUGCUGAGAACAAUAUACCCAGCUGAAACCAACGCAAUGAGGUGCGUACACACCGCCCGUCAUCCCUGUUAACCAACUAAAAACCAUAUAUAAACAAAAAUCACUAAUCCUUAAAGCAGGGCAAGUCGUAACAUGGUAAGCGUACUGGAAAGUGUGCUUAGAU